CUGCGGAAGGAUCUUACCGAUUCUAAUACCUAACUCACUGUGCACUCGGUCGCUGCAAGCGCUCUCCUCUCGGGGUUGGCCAACUGGCCAUUAAAUCGGUUCUGGGCUGUAACAGGCUUUCAGUUCUGGGCCCCGAUUGGAGUUUUGCUCGCAGCGGUCUUCUUGAACCUUUUUCAACCUUGCAACUUUGCAGACUGUACUGUCGGGCUUUCUAUGGAAAGCUUGUCUUGAUUCUUAAUCAUGGACAACUUUCAACGGUGGAUCUCUUGGCUCGUGGAUCGAUGAAGAACGCAGCAAAACGCGAUAUGUAGUGUGAAUUGCAGAAUUCAGUGAAUCAUCGAAUCUUUGAACGCAAAUGGCGCUUUUGGGUAUUCCCAAGAGCAUGUCUGUCUCAGUGUCGUUUUCACCUCGAGCACGCCACGGCGUGGUGGUCAUGAGGCGUCUGAGAAGCCCUGGUUGCUCUCAGUCCCUUGAAAUGGAGUGGCCGGACAGUUGUGUGCUUUUCGGGUCGGUUCGCCCCGUCUUCGCUCGCACGGCUGAUGGUGAGAUUCCUCGUAAUCUCCCUUGUCGUGUCGCAGCGGUCGGGAUGAGCUGUGUCCGGAUAUACGGCCCUGUGUCCGAAACAAGCCAGUUCUGGAAAACAACACGUUUCUGUCUCCGAUGGAAACAUCUUCGACCUGAGAUCAGGCAAGACUACCCGCUGAAUUUAAGCAUAUUAAUAAGCGGAG
rnacentral:rRNA from 1 species